CGUACAGGUACCAGCGGCCCAGCGCGCUCAGCGGCUCCGCGGGGCUCCUCAUGGCUGGGCACCUGCAAAGAGGGUGGGAGAGAGAAGAGAGGCAACAGUGAGGCGCAGUUUCAUCGCGUUCCACCAUACAGACCAAACUUGGAAAUGGCGAGCCGACCUUGAGAGAGGCAUUUGCUCUGCCGUCUCCCAGCUUUUCCCAGGCCGGCAGGCUUGACCUCUGUCAAAAAGAGGCUUUGGAAGGAGCAGGCUCUCUUGGGGCUCCCAACGCACUCACCAUCUCCCCUUGCGGUUAACCUGGAAUUAACCCGGCUUUCUGGCAGGGCACCAAACAGCGACUCCCAAG